rnacentral:lncRNA from 1 species
GUGUAGAAGACAAUGGCAGCCCCAACUUAUAUCUUCCAGAUCGACGAAACCAACUUAGGGUUUCCUUAAUCGCAAUUUCAAACCUCCAAAGAACAACGAUCAAAAAUUGCUCAGCAUAACAACAAGCAGAGCAAAACGAAAAAAAAAAUUAAAGAAUCAUAGCUUCCACUACUCACCCGGGUUCGAGUAGAAGGACAACUACGGUUCGACUCGGGGAAAACUAUGACUCCAAUCACGGAGAAUGGUGGUUCGGCAGAAGGAAAGAAACGGUUCCCGUCAAACGACUAUUAGCUCACGGAAGGAGAACGACUGUGAGCUCAGGCAAGGACAACGCAGGUGCGAGGUUACGCUUCCCGUCAAACGACUAUGAAGAAGUGCGAGGGAAAGCGGACUAGUUUAGGCCUGGAGAGAGUGUUGUGAGAGAAGAAGAGAGUGCAAGCACAAUGUUAGGGCUCGAGAGUGAGAAGAGAAAGGGGGAAAGGGUUAGGACUCAACAGUGAGGAUAUUCGAAAAUGAGGGUCAGAUCUCUGAAGUAAAC